UUUAAAGAGUUCAUAGUAAUACAUAUACGGAGUGCAACAUAUGUUACAUUAUAUUUAUAUAUAAAUAAGCCAUCUUGAAGAAAGCUUUAUCAUAACAAACCGGUGGUAAAGAGGCAAAAUUAUAAUGAAAAUUUCAGCUUUUAUUUUUGUUCUCUUAAUUAGUGUAUCAACUUGCAGCAUUCUCGGUUGGUGUGAAGGUUUCUCAGCAUUUAAUUGUCCCGACAAACCUACACUAAAAUCAGGCGCAAGCCCUGUCUACCGAAUUCUUUUUUAAGUUACUGCGGUGUUUACUAGACGAAAUGAUGAUGAAAACGUAUGUGUUCUUUUCCGUUUUUGCAUGUGUUUCAUCGACCAGCACCAUUGAGAAAGAAUGCAUAAAAGUAGCGAAAGAGGAGUGUCCAAAGGAAUUUGAAGAAUAUGGACACAGGAGAAAGGAAUGCAGGUUGUUUGAUAUGUUCCUUGAGUGCUUUCGUCAUUCUAUCUAUCCCGUGUGUCAUGAACUUUUUGAAUCGAACAGUUCUUGUAUAAAAUCAUGCCAUUUUAAUGGAAAGGAGAUAUCAGUCAACUUGUGAAAGAAGCAAUACAGUAAUUAAUAAGGAACGUUUAAAUUAAUGCAAGAAUGCCUUUGAAGUUCUGAGACUACCAUUCUUAAAACAGUAACAUUCUUGUAUUAUUCAUAUCCAAUUACUUCGAACGUGACUGCAUUAUUCUCUUUUCAGAUGACCAUUCAAAGAGUAUCCCUUCCUCUUUUUGGCGUUAAUCUUGUAAUGUAUCUAAACUAAAGUUAAAUAAACGUUAUCAUGGAAUAA